CUGUCUCUCCCAAAACUUUCCACACUUCGAUUGGUAUAUCGUCUGGGCCUACUGCUUUUCUAUGCUUCAUCUUCUUCAAAGCUACAACCACUUCUUCCUUCCGGAUUCUACGAUAAAAAGAGUAGUUUUUACACUCUUCUGAGUUACUCAACUCCCCUAAAGAAGCACUCCUUUCAUGUCCUUCAUUGAAAAGAUUAUGAAAAUAACCUUUCCAUCUGUCUUUA
rnacentral:lncRNA from 1 species